rnacentral:rRNA from 1 species
UGAUGUGCAGAUAGCAUGCCAGCUUAGUACAAACUAAAUGUGGUGAAACUGCAAAUGGCUCAUUACAACGGUUAUGAUGUACCCGGGAGUUCCGAUGGAUAUUUCCAGUAACACUAGAACUAAUACAUGUCCCUGCGUUUAUUAGUUUCGCACAGUCCGUCGCUGAGUCAUGGUAAACAGUUGAUCGACUCGACGUCCCGGAACAGUUUCCGCCCCAUCAGCUUCGAUGGUUGGGUAUUGGCCUACCAUUGCAACAACGGGUAACGAGGAAUUAGGGUUUGAUUUCGGAGAGGGAGCCUGAGAAACGGCUACCACAUCUACGGAUGGCAGCAGGCGCGCAAAUUACCCAAUGCAGACACUGUGAGGUAGUGACGAGAAAUAAUAAAGCGGGACUUCUGUUUCGCUAUUAUAAUGAGGAAUAACCAAAGGUCAUUCCGAUUAGCAACUGAUGGGAAAGUCUGGUGCCAGCAGCCGCGGUAAUACCAGCGUCAGUAGCAUAU